CCCCCCCCCCCCUUACACCACACACACUCUCCUCAAACUCGCCUACACCAUCGCCACUCCUCCGUCGCUGUGAAACUCUAGAAGAAAGCAACAGUUAUGGGUGAGGUGGUGAGCAAGGUUGAAAGUGAACUACUGUGCAGGUCUUAUAUCUACAUAUAUUUGGGAGAGGAUCCUUUUGACAAGGAAGCCAAAGAGAAAUAUGGGACGUCCAUGCUUUAAAGAGAGAGCUAGAAAGUUCUCUCUCUUUUAAAGAGAUAGCUUCUAGCUAUCUAUUUAUUUGAAUAUAGACAUAUAAGGUUAUCCAGAAAUUUAUUUUAUUAUUUAAUUUGAAGUAUUCGAUUUUUUGUUAAUUUUCUAAUAUAAGCUACAGAGGUGGGCAAUAAAGAAAGACUAUAAAGAUGCUACUAAUAUCUUUUGAAUUAGUUCCACUUUCCUUGUAUUUUAUAUAAACACUUGUUUGUUGAGUA